rnacentral:rRNA from 1 species
UACGUAGGGUGCGAGCGUUAAUCGGAAUUACUGGGCGUAAAGCGUGCGCAGGCGGUUCGUCGUGUCCGAUGUGAAAGCCCCGGGCUCAACCUGGGAAUGGCAUUGGAAACUGGCGGACUCGAGUGUGGCAGAGGGGGGUGGAAUUCCGCGUGUAGCAGUGAAAUGCGUAGAGAUGCGGAGGAACACCGAUGGCGAAGGCAGCCCCCUGGGCUAACACUGACGCUCAGGCACGAAAGCGUGGGGAGCGAACAGG